CUACGGUGGGUGCAAGCGUUAUCCGGAAUCACUGGGCGUAAAGGACGCGUAGGCGGGUUGGCAAGUCAGAUGAGAAAUCCUACAGCUUAACUGUAGAACUGCAUUUGAAACUGCUAACCUAGAGUAUGGGAGGGGGAGAUGGAAUUAGUGGUGUAGGGGUAAAAUCCGUAGAUAUCACUAGGAAUACCGAAAGCGAAGGCGAUCUCCUGGAACAUAACUGACGCUAAGGCGUGAAAGCGUGGGGAGCAAACAGGAUUAGAAACCCUUGUAGUCC
rnacentral:rRNA from 1 species